rnacentral:tRNA from 1 species
AAUGAUGAGCCUGAGUUAAAGGACUAUCGUGAUAGGAUAAAACAUGUAGCUAAAUCUACCUUCAUUA